CCUACGGGGCGCAGCAGUGGGGGAUAUUGCACAAUGGGGGAAACCCUGAUGCAGCGAUGCCGCGUGAGUGAAGACGGCCUUCGGGUUGUAAAGCUCUGUCGCAGAGGACGAAAAUGACGGUACUCUGUAAGAAAGCUCCGGCUAACUACGUGCCAGCAGCCGCGGUAAUACGUAGGGAGCAAGCGUUGUCCGGAAUAACUGGGCGUAAAGGAUGCGUAGGCGGUUAAACAAGUUAUAUGUUAAAUAUAUAGGCUUAACCUGUAGAAAGCAUAUAAAACUGUUUAACUAGAGUGCAGGAGAGGUAA
rnacentral:rRNA from 1 species